UCCCAGCGGUCCAAGUCGCAACCACAAUUAUUGGGUCUAAAACAUCCGUAGCUUGCUUGAUAAGUCUCUUGUGAAAUCCGGCCUCUUAAGGGUCGAAGAGCGAGAGAUACUGUCGGGCUAGAGACCGGGAGAGGUAAGAAGUACGGUCGGGGUACCGGUAAAAUGGGUUGAUCCCGUCUGGACUAACAACAGCGAAGGCAUCUUACCAGCACGGAUCUGACAGUAAGGGAUGAAGGCUAGGGGCGCAAAAGGG
rnacentral:rRNA from 1 species